CGGCGAAACUGCGAAUGGCUCAUUAAAUCAGUUAUCGUUUAUUUGAUAGUACCUACUACAUGGAUAACCGUGGUAAUUCUAGAGCUAAUACAUGCUAAAAAUCCCGACUUCGGAAGGGAUGUAUUUAUUAGAUUAAAAACCAAUGCCCUUCGGGGCUCACUGGUGAUUCAUAAUAACUUCUCGAAUCGCAUGGCCUUGCGCUGGCGAUGGUUCAUUCAAAUUUCUGCCCUAUCAACUUUCGACGGCUGGGUCUUGGCCAGCCAUGGUGACAACGGGUAACGGAGGGUUAGGGCUCGACCCCGGAGAAGGAGCCUGAGAAACGGCUACUACAUCCAAGGAAGGCAGCAGGCGCGCAAAUUACCCAAUCCCGACACGGGGAGGUAGUGACAAUAAAUACUGAUACAGGGCUCUUUUGGGUCUUGUAAUUGGAAUGAGUACAAUUUAAAUCCCUUAACGAGGAACAAUUGGAGGGCAAGUCUGGUGCCAGCAGCCGCGGUAAUUCCAGCUCCAAUAGCGUAUAUUAAAGUUGUUGCAGUUAAAAAGCUCGUAGUUGAACCUUGGGCCUGGCUGGCCGGUCCGCCUCACCGCGUGCACUGGUCCGGCCGGGCCUUUCCCUCUGGGGAGCCGCAUGCCCUUCACUGGGUGUGUCGGGGAACCAGGACUUUUACUGUGAAAAAAUUAGAGUGUUCAAAGCAGGCCUAUGCUCGAAUACAUUAGCAUGGAAUAAUAGAAUAGGACGUGCGGUUCUAUUUUGUUGGUUUCUAGGACCGCCGUAAUGAUUAAUAGGGACAGUCGGGGGCAUCAGUAUUCAAUUGUCAGAGGUGAAAUUCUUGGAUUUAUUGAAGACUAACUACUGCG
rnacentral:rRNA from 1 species